UCGAGGAUUUUCCGCAAUGGGCGCAAGCCUGACGGAGCGACGCCGCGUGCGCGAUGAAGGCCUUCGGGUUGUAAAGCGCUGUCGAGGGGGAGGAAAGCCGUAAGGUCUGACCUAUCCCUGGAGGAAGCACGGGCUAAGUUCGUGCCAGCAGCCGCGGUAAGACGAACCGUGCAAACGUUGUUCGGAAUCACUGGGCUUAAAGGGCGCGUAGGCGGCUCGCCAAGUCGGGGGUGAAAUCUUUCGGCUUAACCGGAAAAGUGCCUUCGAUACUGGCGGGCUUGAGCGAGGUAGGGGCAUGUGGAACUUCCGGUGGAGCGGUGAAAUGCGUUGAUAUCGGAAGGAACGCCGGUGGCGAAAGCGACGUGCUGGACCUCUUCUGACGCUGAGGCGCGAAAGCUAGGGUAGCGAACGGGAUUAGAUACCCCUGUAGUCC
rnacentral:rRNA from 1 species